AGCCUCCUGGUGCAUACCACAGGCUGUGUUCUUACAUUGACUGUACAGGAAGAGGAGAGAAAGUAAACCCAGCCCAUAUAUACCACAGCCCCGGCCCUGUGCCUGGUCUGUAUUGUGAAUGAGAAUACUUGG
rnacentral:snoRNA from 1 species